AAAUAAAUUUUUUAUGAUUUAUAUAAUUUAAUUUAAAUUUAUUUUACAUAUAAAUUUUAGUGUAUAUUUUUAAUUAUUUUAAAAAUUUUUAAAAAUUUAAUUUUAAUAGUAAUUAAUAUUAAAAAUUUAAGAAAUUAAGAUUUAGUAAUAUUUAUUUAUUAUUAACAAAUUUUGUGCCAGCAGUUGCGGUUAAACAAAAAAUAAUUUAAAUUUUAUUAGUAAAUAAUAAAUAUUAUAAUAAAAAUUAAAUAUUAAAUUAUUAGGUGAAAUUUUAAUUUAAUUAAAAUUUAAUUUAAUAAUAUGAUUUAUAAAAUUUUAUAAAAAACUAGAAUUAGAUACUCUAUUAUUAAAAAUUAAAUUGAUUAUACUAAAAUAGUAUAUAAUUAUUUAUAAAAACUUAAAUAAUUUGGCGGUAUUUUAGUUCAUUUAGAGGAAUCUGUUUAAUAAUUGAUAAUCCACGAAUAAAUUUACUUAAUUUAUAUAUUUUGUAUAUCGUUGUUAAAAAAAUAUUUUUUAAUAAAAAUAAUAUUUUAAAAUUUUUAAAAUAAAUUAAUUCAGAUCAAGAUGCAGAUUAUAAUUAAGAAUAAAAUGGAUUACAAUAAAAAUAAUUAAAUGGAUAUUAUUUUUUAAAGAUAAUUGAAGGUGGAUUUAAAUGUAAUUUUAUUUAUUUUAUUAAAAUGAUUAAAAAUUAAAAUAUGUACAUAUUGCCCGUCGCUUUCAUUAAUAAAUUGGAAUAAGUCGUAACAAAGUAGAGGUACUGGAAAGUGUUUCUAGAAAGAA
rnacentral:ncRNA from 1 species